rnacentral:rRNA from 1 species
ACAUGCAAGUCGAGCGAACAGAUAAGGAGCUUGCUCCUUUGACGUUAGCGGCGGACGGGUGAGUAACACGUGGGUAACCUACCUAUAAGACUGGGAUAACUUCGGGAAACCGGAGCUAAUACCGGAUAACAUUUGGAACCGCAUGGUUCUAAAGUGAAAGAUGGUUUUGCUAUCACUUAUAGAUGGACCCGCGCCGUAUUAGCUAGUUGGUAAGGUAACGGCUUACCAAGGCGACGAUACGUAGCCGACCUGAGAGGGUGAUCGGCCACACUGGAACUGAGACACGGUCCAGACUCCUACGGGAGGCAGCAGUAGGGAAUCUUCCGCAAUGGGCGAAAGCCUGACGGAGCAACGCCGCGUGAGUGAUGAAGGGUUUCGGCUCGUAAAACUCUGUUAUUAGGGAAGAACAAACGUGUAAGUAACUGUGCACGUCUUGACGGUACCUAAUCAGAAAGCCACGGCUAACUACGUGCCAGCAGCCGCGGUAAUACGUAGGUGGCAAGCGUUAUCCGGAAUUAUUGGGCGUAAAGCGCGCGUAGGCGGUUUCUUAAGUCUGAUGUGAAAGCCCACGGCUCAACCGUGGAGGGUCAUUGGAAACUGGGAAACUUGAGUGCAGAAGAGGAAAGUGGAAUUCCAUGUGUAGCGGUGAAAUGCGCAGAGAUAUGGAGGAACACCAGUGGCGAAGGCGACUUUCUGGUCUGUAACUGACGCUGAUGUGCGAAAGCGUGGGGAUCAAACAGGAUUAGAUACCCUGGUAGUCCACGCCGUAAACGAUGAGUGCUAAGUG